UGAGGAACAUGACCUUCGGCGGGGGAGUAGCCGGCCCAACGGCCGGGUAAUACCGCGUACGACCACAUGGGGACAUCCCUGAGUGGUGAAAGCAGCAAUGCGCCGAUGGAGUGCCUCGCGGCCUAUCAGCUAGUUGGUGAGGUAACGGCUCACCAAGGCAACGACGGGUAGCUGGUCUGAGAGGAUGGCCAGCCACAUUGGGACUGAGACACGGCCCAGACUCUACGGGGAG
rnacentral:rRNA from 1 species